GGGGGGGGGGGGGGGGGGGGGGGGGGGGGGGGGGGCGGGGGGGGGGUGCGGGGGUGGCGGCGGGCGGGGGAGUAGCGCGGGGGAAUGUGCCCGUCUCUACGGAGUAGCCCUGGGAAACGGGGGGUAAUACCGGAGACGCCCUAUUGGGGAAAGAUUUAUCGGAGAAGGAUCAGCCCGCGUUGGAUUAGGUAGUUGGUGGGGUAAUGGCCUACCAAGCCGACGAUCCAUAGCUGGUUUGAGAGGAUGAUCAGCCACACUGGGACUGAGACACGGCCCAGACUCCUACGGGAGGCAGCAGUGGGGAAUCUUAGACAAUGGGGGCAACCCUGAUCUAGCCAUGCCGCGUGAGUGAUGAAGGCCUUAGGGUUGUAAAGCUCUUUCAGCUGGGAAGAUAAUGACGGUACCAGCAGAAGAAGCCCCGGCUAACUCCGUG
rnacentral:rRNA from 1 species